ncrna:unclassified sequences DTF3577 RNA
GAGAUCGGACAGCGCAGGAAACUGCGUGAAACUCGCCUGUAAUUCCGGCAUCAUCACACCAGUGAUGUGGCGACUGCCCUUGCUGCUGCGGCAGUGAUUUU